rnacentral:rRNA from 1 species
UACGGGGGGGGGCAAGCGUUGUUCGGAAUUACUGGGCGUAAAGGGCUCGUAGGCGGCCAACUAAGUCAGACGUGAAAUCCCUCGGCUUAACCGGGGAACUGCGUCUGAUACUGGUUGGCUUGAAUCCGGGAGAGGGAUGUGGAAUUCCAGGUGUAGCGGUGAAAUGCGUAGAUAUCUGGAGGAACACCGGUGGCGAAGGCGGCAC